ensembl:lncRNA LINC00844 long intergenic non-protein coding RNA 844
AGAGACAAAGGAAACACAGAGACAUAGACAUGGAUCUGGGAAAUACACCUUUUGCUACUCGUUCAGUUUUAGCAAGGAGGUUUCUUGCAUGGCUAAGCAAAACUUAAACUUCCUCUGAGAAUUACAGGAAUUACAGGACCUGACAAAGCUAUGAAGAUUAAAGUAAGUUAAAUUGACUACUUUGACCAGUCUAUGAUUAAAUGCCCUAUAUAGGAUGUAGAGACAGGUGUCUGGUUCAGAAGAGGAAGGGAAGAUUGGAAACUGGUUGGAGUAAGAACUGAGCCUGUGGACUAUGAGAAUGUCAGAGCAGAAAGGGCUUUAGAGUGAAUCUGGAUACCCUCAUUUAUAUAGAUGUGGCAAUGGAAGGAGACCCCAGGUGAUUUUCUUAGGGUCACACGGUGAUACCUUGUUGUGAUGAAUAUAUACAGCUAGUAGAACUUUUGAUUAAUGUGAGUGCGGCAGAUUUAUUGCAACAGGGGCUCCAAUUCUUUUCUUCUCUCUAUCCAAGCACCAUGGGAUGUAACUUUGUAGCUCCUCCCAUCAAGAAGUCUACUCAAGAGGUCUCAUUGAGGUCUACUUCCUGUACCUCCAAACCUGGGUUGGCUUUGAGACUUGCUUUGGUUAGUAGAAUGCAGCAGAUGUGAUGCUAUGCAGUCCCAGGCCUACGCCUCAAAAGCUGUGCUUGCUUCUGCUCCUUCUCUUGACCUUUGCCUCUAUUAGCCCUGACUAGCCUGCUGAAGGGACAGAGACCACAGGCACAGAGCUGAGGUGUGCCAGCUGAGGCCAUCUGAAACAUGGGAGAGAGAGAUGGCUAUGGUCAAAGAAAUGCUCAGCCAGGCCUGACCAAGAUCAACAGAACCCACCAGCUAACUGUGAAUGUGAGAACAGUAAGAAUGGCUGCUGUUUUAAGCCUCUUAAGUUUUGGAGGUGGUUGUUUGCAACAUUCUUGUGGCAACACUUGGCUAGUCAGUGGUGCUAUAAUGAGAGGUUGGUCACUGAGAGGAGAAAGAGGGAGCAGGAUAAUCCCUGGCAUGGUAGGUCUUGCAGUUUCCAUCAUGGAGUAUGGUGGCCAAUUUAAGAAAGAAACUGUCCUGGAAACAGAUCCCAGAAAAAUCUCCUCACUGUGAUUGUGGCAUUGUGCUGUCUAAAUGCCAGACAAUCCUGAAGGGUUUGUAUCAUCACUUCCUAAAUUAGAAAUGAUCCUAGGGCUCUUCCAAUUCUGAUUUUAUAGAAAAGGAAGCAGAGGCUGCGCAGUGUUAAGGCAAGACUAGCUGCUUAAGUUAAUGGGCCCAACACAAAACAAAACUGUGGAGUCCCUUGUUAAAAAAUUACUAAGAUGGUGACAGCAGGGCCUUAAACUAAGCACAAAGCCCUUUUAAGUAUGGGACUCUGUGAGACCGCACAGAUCUUAUGCCCAUGAAGCUGACCCAGAUUUAGGCAAUUUGUCCAAGGACAUCACUUCGGAAGAUUCAUCCAUCAGGCUAUUCUUUACCCAAAAAUGUAACUUGGUAUAUUUGUUAACUGCUAGUUCAAGAAGCAGGGCAGGAACCUAAGGCCUCUAGUUCCCACUCCAGUGAUUCUUCUUUUUUUUUGUUUUUGACAGACCUAUAGGAAGAAAAUCUGAACCAGAAACAGUAUGGCAGAAUUGGGAUCUGACUCACAGAGGGAAGAACUUAUAAUUCUUCACAGGUCACAUAGAAGCAUGAGAAUUUGGGUUCAAGCAAGUAAAUUCUAAAUCAGAAUCCAUACAUAAAGUGUUUGCAAUGUCCAGUUAUAUCUCCAUGAUAUUUUCUUUGUGGAAGUUGAUUGUUCUUCCUUACAAUAAAUUGCUUGAAUUGUCUGUCUAUUCAUUUAGCUAUUUCUUUUCUUGUCUUUGCGAUAUUUUUUUUUGUAAGUAAAAAAUUUUCAGACUAAAUAACAGGGUGUAAUUUUUUGCUUUGUUUCUCCUAAGUUUUGUCUUGUUUAUGACAUUAAUAAUUUUCUAAAAUCUCUGAUUUCUUUUCUGUAGAAUGCUUGAAAAAUGACAGCUCAAUAUGCACAUUACCCCAUCCCUAACCACCUUCGUCACUACUUUGAAUACUCUUCUCUCACCCGACACUGCAGUUAAAUAUGAUUGGAAUCCUUGUUUCUAUAGUAAACCAGUCUACUUUAUUUUAUGGAUGAUUAAUUUAAAAAAUUAAACUCUGGGCUUCCUUCAGGUUUUCUAAGGUUUUUCCCACUGGCUUAUAAUGGAAAAUUCAAAAAGGGCCUCUCAGGUAACAGAGACAAGUUUGUAGAUUUAAAAAAAAAUUCCUUUAGAAAAGACAAGGUUUCUGUGACCUCCUUUUUGUGAGACAAUGAAAGUGACAAGACAAGAUCUUAAAUAAUAAAGUUAAAGCCAUCAGUAAAGGCAAAAGUCAAAGAUGUGAAACAUCUGUGAGAACACACGUAAAAGCUAGUGGGGAUAUCUCGAGGAACAGAGCUCAGUUUUGCAUCAAAGUUCAGGCCAACUGAACACCAAGGCUUGAUGGCAGCCAGAGUCUUGCUGUGUAGAGUCUGGUUGCUUUCUGAAUGGACACGGAUUCUUGCUUUGAAGAUUACUUGUUAACUCACCAAACACACCCAGCCCAGCUACCUGCAUCAUUCCUUUGUCAAGGUUCCCACCUACCUGGCCCAGCUGCAGGUGAAGGCCAGAUUCUCAGGGUAUUUUACCCAUCCCCACUUCUUCUCUUUUAAAAAUCACUAUUCUGAAUUUACAGUUGGCCAAUGACCUCUAACUGGAUUAAUAAAAUGUCUAAUUUAGUUUGGAA